GCCGGAUGUGGUGGCGCGCGCCUGUAAUCCAAGUGACCGGGAGGCUGAGGCUGGCGGAGCGUUUGAGCUCAGGAGCUCUGAGCUGCACUGGACUGUGACGAUCGGGGUGUCUGCACUAAGUUCGGUAUCGAUAUGGUGAUCCUGGGGGAGCUGGGGACCAGCAGGUCGUCUAAAGAGGGGGUGCACCGGUCCAGGUCGGAGACGGAGCGGUCAAAGCCCCCGUGCCGCUCAGUAGCGGGAUCGCGCCUGUGAAUAGGACGCUGCAGCCGCAGCCUGAGUAAUACAGCGGGACCCCAGUCUCUU
rnacentral:SRP_RNA from 1 species